rnacentral:lncRNA from 1 species
UCGGCUGCUCCAGUACUAACCGCCCAAACUAGUGAGCAGCAGUUUCAAUCUGCACAAGAUGCAAAUGGUAAUGCAACCAUUGGAAGAUCAUAUUACUAUCAGGUACACAUAAAUAUGUACGAAAUAUUAUCUUUCCUUCUGGCAUUUAAGAUUUAACUGAUCUAUACCAGCAUGGUUCAUGUUUUGCAGGUUUUUCCAACUCCUAUGCAACCAAACCAGAUCUUCAUGCAUCCGAAUACAAUGCCUGUUUGUGCACCACAGGUAUUCUGGUUGGCAGAUUGGCCUGAGCAAAAUUUGUUUUGUCUGUUAUUCCACUGUGCAUUAGCAUUAUUACCAAACAGCACUUUGGAACUCAUAAAUAGAAAUUUUGUGACAAUAAAUUCGAACAAUGCUUCUAUACAUAAGUACAUGUUCGAGGGAAAUAUACAUAAGUACAUGACAGACGCAGAUUUUGGCUCACGGGAGUUGGAGAAGCCGUAAUCAGGUCCGGACGUAAUCCCUCGGGAUUGUUGUAGUAAAUGCUACAAAAUUCACUCUAACUGACAUACCAGAUGCAUACACCCACUAAGGCCCUGUUUGGUUCCAAAUAAGUCACCAACUUAUAAGUCGAGAAGUGAAAAAAGUGACUUAUUUUGCCAAACGGACCCAACUUAUAAGUCACCCCAACUUAUAAGUCAUAAGUUGCUCCACCCCAACUUAAAACUUAUAAGUCACCCCCUUUUGCGUGGGUCCCAUCACCUUUACAUAAAAAACAAGGUGGAAAGGUGUGGUCAGGUGACUUAUAAGUCAGGUGACAACCAAACGGGCAUGACUUAUAAGUCACUGGUUUUAAGUCACCUGACUUAUAAGUCAGGUGACUUAUUGGAACCAAACAGGCCGUAAGUAAUACAUCAUAGAUGGAAGGAUAGUCAAUUAAUGCGUCACUGUUUAGUACUCCCUCCGUUCCAUAUUAGUUGUCGCUGAUUUAGUACGAACAGGAAAAAAUAAAUUCCCAAACUGUUAUCUAUGUCAUCUAUCAUGCAAUAAUCAAAGAAAUGCCUAAGUUACCCAUCCCUGUAACCCUCCAUAUAGGGCUGGUCUCGCGCGAGCUCUAUCACUGUUCAUCUUCCCCGUUACUGCCUCCAUUAGAAACAAACUCCAUCCUGCUCCCCACCCUCAUAUUCUGAUGGAUCCAGGUUCUUCAAAGCAGAUUGGUAAUAUAUUGGUGCACACCACCCAGCCAUGUAGAGCAGAGGGACCUUGGUUGGACCUGGUGAUAACGAUGCGGACAUGGUGAUGGACCUUGGUUGGAGCCAAAGAAAGUGUAGGUUUUUAGAUCAAGAUGGCGUCUGACUCUGGAGAAGGGGAGUGGUGGUGAUGAAAAGGAACUGUGCGUACGGUUGUUUGGUGGUUGGAACAAAAUAGGUGAUUUCUGGCUGGUGGGACAAGUCUGUGUACCAUGGUACAAAACAUACUAGCUUGUAAUAAAUUGGUACAGGGAAGUAUAUAUGGGUGGAAUACAUAAAGUAGCAUACGAUCCCAAGGAUAGUGCAGGGUGAGGAUAUAGAUGCAUGGACCACCUGGAGCUCCAAUGCAAUUACCAAUACAUGACUCUGUACUUUUGUAGACUGAACUGAGCAAACCUUCAGGACGUCGACAAGUAUGCCAUACUAUUUUCUAUUUUCUGGUAUUAGAGCCCGUAGCACUUGUACCAUCUCUUAACUUGGUAGAUGGGUUUACGAUUCCACUGCCAUUACAGACAGCGUUAAUAAAAAAUGCUGAAAGGCUCUUGGCUUCUUGUGCACUUAUGACCAACAGGAUUUGUCAGCAUAUGCUGCGGUGCGUCCUAAUUCAAAUUUCGGCGGCGCGAAGAACAUCUAAAGGACACAAGGUAUACAAUUUUUUUCAGUUCAGUAACUUGAUUAGCAAUAUUGCUUCUGCCACUCUGCACAGAACUAGGAUGGUAGGACCAGGCUUGUAUCUCGCUUUUCUUGAAUACCUUGAGCAUCAUAAGCUAGAUUUGAAUCCUGUGUUAGCAAGGGUUCAAACCCCUACUACACACAAGAGGCGUAACGCAUAUUGCAGUUUGAAAUUUCUACACUGAUCUGUUGUUGCUCUUAACUUCCAGGGUCUGCUAGAUGUGUUUCUUUACAAUUUUUUGUUGGAGAUGGCUACUGCCAAGUACCCAGCCCUGCAAGUACCAACCGCCGGGCGUGGAUCUUUUGUCGAACCGUUACAGAGGGAUCAUGGUUCCAGCGAUGCUGCUCUUGAGAGGAGUGGCUAUUCUGUCCUGUGCCAUUUCUUUUCUACCGAGGGUGGAGUCUAGGAUUAAUUAGGCAUCCCAUUUGCGGUGUGACCUUUUGGGCGUAGGCAAUUAUAGCAUGUAAGUUGUAAUUGUACAUGAGUAGCCAUUAAUUAGCUAUUAACAGGACCGCUGGAUGGAGUCCAGGAACCCUUGGCCGAGAAACGCAAUAUGGUGUAAUUUUCAACAAGAGCAAAAUUGCUCUUCAUUUCUUGCUCGAGUUGGAGCAGGAGGAAUGCGAGGCCUCGGCAAUCUCUGCAAGCUGACCUUGAGUGCUUUGUGUUGUUACCAAAUUGUUCUAGACCAUGAUUAACAUGAUUAAGAUUCUCAGGCUGGUUCUAUAUUUGAUGGACGGCGCUUGCAUAUUGUGAUUUUAACUGGCCUUGUAUGUUGCAUCUUCUGUUUUCCCUUGGUAUAUGCAGAGCACCAGCCACUCA